UGAGCACUACCACAGUAUACUUUUUAUGCAAUACCUAGACUGCUUAGUAAUCAAAAAGACAUUUAAAUCCCACAUUCUACAACAAGAUACCUUUAAGAUAGAGACACUCUAAAAAAAAUCUAAAAAUGAGGCAAGCAAGAUUCUUGAAAAGCAUCAACAACUCUUCGAGGUUUUUAUAUCGCAGCCUGCUUUAAUGAGGCCAUGGUUUGAUGAAUUGACAUACAAGAUAGAAUAAUUGUAAGGUAAAUGCAGCAAUAUGAACAAUAUUGUUGAAAAAUGUGGACAGAUAACAGAAAUACUGAAAAAAAUGAUUUUUAUUUGACAAAUAUCCAUAAAGUGAAGCUGAACACAGACACACACACACACACACACACACACAAAUCAAGCAUUCACAUAUUCACAAGCAUAACAUACUUCAUUCCAUGUGAUUACAGUCCCUGAGUAUGAAUUCAUGACUUUAAGUGGAUAAAAACUUUACAUGCCUACACAUGCAAAGUGGAGCACAAACACAUUCCACAGAUGUCUCUUGGGAUGUUCUUUUUACGACAUGUGGCAUCUACUUUCAGGGCACAAGGGAACAGAAGCAGACUGUUUGUGUCUAAAAACAAAUGUCUGUCCACUGCGCCCAAGCCAUAAUAAAGUCUGAGCUGCCCCAGCGAGGGAUCGCUUCCUGUCUGCUGUCACAGGGAGCGUGGUAACGGCGUUGUGACGGUGUGUCUUCACCCAUUGGAAGUAAGUAACCCGAACGCAUUAUUGCAUUCAUCCUUUUUGGUCAUGAUGGCAAUGAUGCAUUUCAAAGAUAUUUCUUUGUGAUCUGAUCAGCAAACAAACGUCUGUAUGGAGCCAAAUCCAGGUCAAAAGUUUUGUUCAUUUGAAAAACAAAUGUGAACCUAAAAGUUUAGGUUUUGUAUUUGAACGUUGAAAAAUACAACGCUGUAUUCAAAAUAAAAAUAAGUGAAAAUAUAAAAUCUGCAACCGAAAAAUAUAAUACAAUCAUAAAAGAAAUGUGAAGAUUGAAAAAGAUUGAAAAAGAAAUAUAGAGCUGAGUCAAAACUAUAUUCGUCCUGAAAAUAUUUUUCGUUUCUUAAACUUUCCUCUUUGAUUGUGCCUAUAGUUAGGGCUGGCUCAGGUUAGCCCGGACCAGCCCUUAGUUAAGCUGCUAUAAGCUUAGAAUGCCGGGGGAAUUCUUAGGACACACCGAGCUCCUCUCUCACGCUCUCGUUCUACCAUAAUUCAAGUUUUAUUAAUGCACAUGACUAAUUCAGCUUCUUUCCGGGAGUUUUUUUUUUGUGCUUUCUCCCCUAUCAGGUCUCCGUAGAUCGUGGUUCCUUCGGGACCCUGGUCCUGACACCUGCUGUGGCCAUGCUGACGCCUGCUGCUGCCAUCAUCAUCAUCAUCAUCAUUAUUUUAGAUAUUAAUCAUAUUACUGUACUCGUAAACCAACAUUACCCUCUCCUUAAGUCUCUGUGCUCUCCCUCCCCACAGGCUUCUGUGGAUGGUGGUUCUAUGUGAUGGUGGUUCUAUGUGAUGGUGGUUCUAUCUGAUGGUGGUUGCCCCUGCAGUGGUCCUGCUGUGCGCCUGGCUUACUACUUACAAUUACUUGAAUCAUUUCUGUCAUAGGAGUUGCAUGUAUUAUACAUUGUUCAUUCUCUACACGUGGCAUCCAUUGUAGUCUGUCCAUCCCGGGAGUGGGAUCCCUCCUCUGACGUUCUCCCUAAGGUUUCUUCCCUUUUUCCCUCUUGGAAGGGUUUUUUCAUUUUUUGGGGAGUUUUUCCUGUGCCGAUGGUGGGUUUCGGGACAGAGGAUGUUGUAUGUGUACAGACUGUAAAGGCCUCUGAGACAAAUUUGUAAUUUGCGAUUAUGGGCUAUACAAAAUAAAAUGAAUUGAAUUGAAUUGAAAGCAUUCACAUCUAAUUUUGAAAUGUUUCAUUCAUAUUCAUUUAAGAAAUGGCAGCUCAAAUUCAUGAAACCUUUCUUUUCAACCUGUGUUAGUUUUUUAUUAUCAAUGAAAUAAUUAAUCAUUUCAAUGAAUGUAAUUAUUCAGAAACCUUAAGCAAGAACAUUCCUGCAUGUUAACCCACCACCUUCUGAACGCGCUGCUCUAUUAUAUCUAUUCUUCAUCAGAAUAUACUGAUUAGAUGUACAGUAAAGAUAACCGUUACCUUUGGCUCUUUUUUUUUCAUUCUGCCAAGCGUGUGGAAAAGAUGAUAGUGAGGAGUUAUCAAGGAAAUACCACAGAACUCAGACACGCCCCCCUCCUUUCCCCUCGCAGAAACAGACAGAAAUGGAAGCUUUGGGGUUGGGGGAGAAGAAGUGAGCGCUAUAGAGCAUCAAGGGAUAAUUAUGGUUAAUUGCUGCUUUGUGGAUGUGAAGUCUGCAUGCAAAGAAAGUGACUAACCUCGGGCUUUAGAAACCUUUACGAGGCACACGGGAGAGCUUUGAAAUACACAAAGUGCCAUUGAGUGUUUAUGACAGGUGGGGAUAUGAAAGCCACUUUGAGAUUAUGAAAGGAAUGUCUACUACUAGCUACUAGUUCAAUUUUACGUCCCUGUGGUUUGAUAUUGUCUCCGCAAAUACUUUGUAGAAUCAGUAACUCGGAGAGCUGAACUUUACUUUGCAAACACGGGUUGUUGGUAUCGUUGUGGACUUUAAGGUUUCUUCCUAAAGUGAGACAUGUUAGAAGUGUAAAAUGAAAGGUGAAAGUAAACACUUGUGUAACGCUCACAUGUCCAGAUGCUGUUGAGUACUGUCAGUUUUGAAAUGCUAGUUUGUGUUGUUGUCAAACUUCACAUCCCAAGAGAGCUGAUCUGACCAACUUCUAUCCAAACAGGGCUAAGAGGCGCUUCUGGCCAUCACAAUUUGGUUGCAAAAGUCCAAAGACGUUACUUAUCCCUAUUAGGAGUAAUUCUGAUAUUAGUUACGCUUCAUCUUCAUAGUGAUAAUGUGACACCAAAGAAUAAAAGCUGUAUUACACUAACCAGACAAACUUGUUCAUAGUUUAUGUUUAAUCUGAUACUUUACAGAAUGUUAUUAUGUGGUGCAGCUGUUGUCAUGUUCUCCACAGAUCCCUCAAAGAUGAAUCAAGCAUUCACUGGUUCAAAUGUUGCUUUUCUGGAGUAUUUCUUCUGAUUACCACCACGUUGGAUUGUAGGUCCCUCAAGGGACACCAGCAGCUUGUCAAUCAUCUAGACUUUCACACCUGCAGUCGGUCUGCGUUCUGCUUUUGGAGACGGCUGCAGAGGUGCACCUUUUGAUAAUUUGCCGUCAUCAUAUUUCAUGUGCUAAAAAGGUCAAAAGAUUGGUUGACAAGUUUUGAAAUUGUUACCAUUGGAAACAUGGCAACCUUUCUUGUUAAAUCUUGACGUAGUGAGAUAUAUAUCUUAUUCCUCUGUGCCAUAAGGGACGAGCGUGGCGCCUGGAGGAGGGUGUGCCGGUAACCUCAGGGUUUGACGGCUCGAACCCCGGCUGCUCCAUACAACUAGAUGUAAAAUAUGG
ensembl:lncRNA